AACCGGUAGGAAUCUACCCAGUAGCGGGGGAUAGCCCGGGGAAACUCGGAUUAAUACCGCAUACGCCCUACGGGGAAAGGCCGGGGUCUUCGGACCGGUCACUACUGGAGGAGCCUGCGUUGGAUUAGCUAGUUGGUGGGGUAAAGGCCCACCAAGGCGACGAUCCAUAGCUGGUCUGAGAGGAUGAUCAGCCACACUGGAACUGAGACACGGUCCAGACUCCUACGGGAGGCAGCAGUAGGGAAUAUUGCACAAUGGGCGAAAGUGAUGCAGCCAUGCCGCGUGUGUGAAGAAGGCCCUAGGGUUGUAAAGCACUUUCAGUGGGGAGGAAUUAGCCUGGCUAAUAACCAGGUGAAAUGACGUUACCCACAGAAGAAGAUCCGGCUAACUCCGUGCCAGCAGCCGCGGUAAUACGGAGGGAUCGAACGUUAAUCGGAAUUACUGGGCGUAAAGCGCGCGUAGGGGUUCAUCAAGUGGGAUGUGAAAGCCCCGGGCUCAACCUGGGAACUGCAUUCCAAACUGGCGGACUAGAGUACGAGAGAGGGGGGUAGAAUUCAGAGUGUAGCGGUGAAAUGCGUAGAUAUUCUGAGGAAUACCGGUGGCGAAGGGGCCCCCUGGCUUGAUACUGACGCUGAGGUGCGAAAGGUAGGGAGCAAACAGGAUUAGAUACCCUGGUAGUCUACGCCGUAAACGAUGUCUACUAGCCGUUGGGAGGCUUGACCUCUUAGUGGCGAAGUAACGCGAUAAGUAGACCGCCUGGGGAGUACGGUCGCAAGAUUAAAACUCAAAUGAAUUGACGGGGGCCGCACAAGCGUGGAGCAUGUGGUUUAAUUCGAUGCAACGCGAAAAACCUUACCAGGCCUUGACAUCCAGAGAACUUACCAGAGAUGGUUUGGUGCCUUCGGGAACUCUGUGACAGGUGUU
rnacentral:rRNA from 1 species